UUAGAAAUAGUUUAAUUAAAAUAUUAGCUUUGGGAGUUAAUGAUCAAAUUAUUUAUUUGUUUCUAAA
rnacentral:tRNA from 1 species